UUUAGAAUGUUAUAGGAGCUCUUUGAGUCCAGCAGUGGCUGAAGGGCUGAUAUGUACUCAGAACUGGUUGAAGCCAGCUCGUACAUAUUUCAAAGACAUCAAUUACACAGAAGAGUUUGGGAUAACUGAGGAAAUCAUAUCAGAAUUUCAACAAUGCUUCAUAACCGCAAAUAUUGGGGCUGCUGGAGCUGGAGCAGCAGUUGGAGGUGCUACUGGUGCUGCUGUAGGUUCUACUCAAACACAACCAAUAGGUUGUGAUUGAGAAAUAUGAUGCUUCUAAUUUUUUUGAAAUCAUUUUGAUAUUUUGGAGUCAUAUAUGACUUGUACAUCUUGGCACAACACAUAAUUAUAUUUUGUAAGCCUUUUUUGG